UACAGGGGGGUGCAAACGUUGCUCGGAAUCAUUGGGCGUAAAGCGCACGUAGGCGGUCUGUUAUGUCGGAUGUGAAAGCCCUUGGCUCAACUGAGGAAGUGCAUCCGAAACUGGCAGGCUAGAGUACUAAAGAGGGUCGCGGAAUUCCCGGUGUAGAGGUGAAAUUCGUAGAUAUCGGGAGGAACACCGGUGGCGAAGGCGGCGACCUGGGUAGAUACUGACGCUGAGGUGCGAAAGCGUGGGGAGCAAACAGG
rnacentral:rRNA from 1 species